rnacentral:misc_RNA from 1 species
AAACUAAUCCUCCCCUCCUUGCCUGCGUGUCAUCCACGAGGGGGGAUAGGAUUCCAAAUUCUGUUUCCAUUUCGUUUCCACAUGCAUACUUUCUCUCCAUCUGCUCCAGAGAAGAUGGCGGAGUCGCCGGAUAAUCAUCACCGACCGAGUUGUACCGGCGAUUCGGUUGUUCGCGAAGUUGAAAUCGCUGGCGAAAAUGGGGUUAUUGACAGUAGUUUGUUCAAACAUAGCAUGUCCGGAGAAACUUCAACUACUGGCAAACCGGAUUCAGAUUCCAGCCAUCGGAGACAAUCUGGUAGAUAUGGAGAGAGUUAUAAUCUAAGCAUAUUGGCAGCG